rnacentral:rRNA from 1 species
UGCGGCGGGGGUACACCCGGUCCCUUCCCGAACCCGGCAGUUAAGCCCGCCAGCGCCGAUGGUACUUGCACGGAGACGUGCUGGGAGCGUAGGUCAUCGCCA